UACGAAGGGGGCUAGCGUUGCUCGGAAUUACUGGGCGUAAAGCGCACGUAGGCGGCUUUCUAAGUCUGGGGUGAAAUCCUGGAGCUCAACUCCAGAACUGCCUUCGAUACUGGAGAGCUCGAGUCCGGGAGAGGUGAGUGGAACUGCGAGUGUAGGGGUGAAAUUCGUAGAUAUUCGCAAGAACACCAGUGGCGAAAGCGGCUUCCUGGUCCAGCACCGACGUUCAGGCACGAAAGCGUGGGGAGCAAACAGG
rnacentral:rRNA from 1 species